rfam:Trichosporon oleaginosus strain IBC0246 unplaced genomic scaffold CC85scaffold_1, whole genome shotgun sequence.
GGUCGUGUGGCGAAAUGGCAUCGCGUCUGACUACGAUUUGGGCUCCAACAGGAGUACUUCGAGCAUCAGGAGAUCGCGGGUUCGACCCCCGUCAUGACCU